AUUGAACGCUGGCGGCAUGCCUUACACAUGCAAGUCGAACGGUAACAGGUCUUCAGAUGCUGACGCGUGGCGAACGGGUGAGUAAUACAUCCGAACGUGCCUAGUAGUGGGGGAUAACUACUCGAAAGAGUGGCUAAUACCGCAUGAGAUCUACGGAUGAAUGCAGGGGAUCGCCAGACCUUGUGCUACUAGAGCGGCCGAUGGCCGACUAGGUAGUGGGUGGGAUAAAAGCUUACCAAGCCGACGAUCUGUAGCUGGUCUGAGAGGACGAUCAGGCACACUGGGACUGAGACACGGCCCAGACGCCUACGGGAGGCAGCAGUGGGGAAUUUUGGACAAUGGGCGCAUGCCUGAUCCAGCAAUGCCGCGUGCAGGAUGAAGGCCUUCGGGUUGUAAACUGCUUUUGUACGGAACGAAAAGCCCCGGGUUAAUACCCUGGGGUCAUGACGGUACCGUAAGAAUAAGCACCGGCUAACUACGUGCCAGCCGCCGCCGUAA
rnacentral:rRNA from 1 species